AGAGCGGUGUGAUCACUGUUUGUUUUUCUGUACGGCACUGUGAAAAACAAUGGGUGUUUUAAAGAGCAAGUAAGAGAAGUGUGAUCGUGCUUUACUGUCUCACACUGGAGGGGAGAGCAAAGGAAGCACUUGGUUACAUACAAGGCAGUUCAUGUUCCCUAACAUGAAAUAUCAUUUCUUUAGUUCCAAAGUUUCCAGGAGACACUGACUUCUUGUCUCUCCUCUUCCAACCAAGAAGCAAGUUGCCUCGUUUUCCCGAGAUGCUCCGUAUGCUUUGUUUCCUCAUGAAACAUGAAGCAUCAUGUGCUCUGUUACCCUUCUGAGACUGAAAUGUUUCACCCGUGGCUGUACCCCAGGCUCAGUGCGAAGUUAAAUCAGCACAAUGGAGCCCUGAAGACCUCCUCUUGGAGCUCACUGCAGCGUAAUGAUGCCAAGCGAAUGCCUGUUUGCCUCUCUAGGGAAGGGUCUCUUAAAUACUGUGCGUAUUCCUAAUUUUUCCAUCUUGCUGUCCCACCUCCAGUUAAAGCUCCUUGUCAUAGCCAGAUAGCAGGGAGAGCUGUGGUUAAACAAGAUCUCCCUGCACCCCUCCCCCCAUGCCUGUUGUGUUUCCAAAACUCCCAAUUCAAUAAUAUAUUAGCUUGAUUCGUAGAAAAACUGUGGACCAAAUGCCUACCUCUCUUCUCGUGUUUCUACAGGGCUUCCAGGAAUGAAAAGAAUUAGCACACAGACAGCCGAUUUCUCUAGCACACCACAGAGCUGUAUUUAGUGUGGCCUCAAACCUAGACUGGAUUCCCACUGGACACCAUACAAAUGUUUAAUAAUUAAUGUCUCUUUUUAAAAAAUCAAAGGGGGUGGAAAGAGGUUGAUCUAUCCCAGCAGUUCUUAACUGAGAGAUGGUAAUGGAUUGAAGAAGCCUAAAUUCUUCCUACCCUCUAAUAUUUCUUGUCAGGAACAGUAAACAAGCCCCGCAUUUUUGGGACAGUGGUGCUCAGCAUUCCUGGAGCACUAAUGGGAAUAUUAAGUAUAAGACAGCUAUGAGUCACUGUGGUUCUUAUUCAAGUCAAAAGCAUAAAUAGCACUUCUCAUAUAUCCAUGCUGUGUCAGUCAAAGAUACUGCAUUUCCUUUCCCCUCUGCCUCUAAUAAACAUCCGCCGACCUUAAGCUGGUAUAUACAGGAAACAGCCUGUUGGUUAUUGUGUAAAACUGAUAAGGUCCCCUGGGAUGCUUUAUCUGUCUCUGUUGUGCGUAUAAAUUUAGCUUCAGUCAUUGUAGGUUUUGUUCUUUUACCCUUUUUCCUCUCCUCCUUUUUUAAUGCCUGCUAAGUAAACAUGGCAUUAUGGAAAAGGGGAUAAAGUAAUUUUUUAGCAUAAUAAGAUCAACACCCAGAGACUUCAGAUUCUAUCAAUACACUUUGCCUUUCAGUUCUUCCGCCUGCAUCUUUCUUACAAAUAAUGGGUUUCUCUGUUUUGAAAUCUAUACCUGUUAUUUGUUACUGUACCCUACCCACACCCCUAUUUCAUGCAAUUGUAAAUUGCAGCAGACCGGAGUGCCUGUCACUAUGAUUUUGCUCUGAGACAUGAUGGUAUUUACAGCAGUACUGUAUUCCUGUCUGCGUUUAUGGCAGGUUAUGGAGCUUUCCUGCUCGGCGCAGUGCUGUGAGAUGGCAGCCAGAAUUAUCUUUUAAUGCAGCGCUCUCAAGAGGUUGAGUUCUUGAAGCUGUAGAGCAAUUAACACUCUUAAUACUUCCAGUAUUGCUUAAGGGUUUGGUGUUGGGAGGGUGGAGCUAGGGUUUGGGAUUUUUGUUUUGUAUUUAAGAGAGUCCUAUCUCUCAUUCUUAAUUAUUGGUACAUGGGCCAAAAAUACAGCCAGCAGUGUCUCAAAGGUGCCUCCAGCUUCUGGGUGGGACGUGUGCAGUGCAAUACCGUUGUUCCUCACUUUUGCUUGCGGUGUGCUCCAUACCAAAAGCGUGUUGGAGACCUGAAGAAUGUGGCUGGAUGUAGCAAUCCUUCCUUACUCUGCAGCCUCUCAGGGACCAUUUGAUUUGGGUUGUCCCAAGGUGACUGAAUCUCUUUUUAAGGUUCACUUGCUGCCUUCUGUUAUGACUCAUCUUCCAUUCGGGAGUUGGGUGCUGGACAGAGAAGAUUCAGGCCAGACAUUUUACCAGCUACUUCUCAAAGGCUGAAGUUGUAAUUGGGCAAGCUAACUGCCACUUGUGCCUUGGAAAAUCCCCUGCAAUGUUGUAGCCUAACUCUCACUGUCCCUUGGUGGAAACUGGGCACCUGCAUACUGGUGUUGGCUUUCAAAAUGUCCUCUUUGGUCUCUCUCUCUGAACGUGGCUGAGUGACUCCCUUUAUUGCUGAACAAGCCGGUGGGGUCUUGCUGCCGCUCCUGUAAAUACUGUUAUGGCUGCGUAUGGGGUGUGUUGAGGGCCAGCAAUUUACGUUACUCUUGGUUUCAUGGCAGAAAAUCUCUCUCUGCCAUGAGAAGCCAACAGCCUACAGGAGAAACAAAACAAGUGAGGAGCAUUCAAAGGGGCAUGCCUUUACCAACCCCAGACACAAAAAAAGAUGCUGGAUUGGGCCUGCUAUGUAUACACUCUGUGUUGGACAGCAUGGCUGCUGCAUAACCAAGAUAACGGGUUUGCUUAGCUUUUGGUUAGCUAAGUAACCUUGGCCCAGAUCACAGAACAAGUUAAUUAUCUGAGCAUUAACCUAUUUUCUCAGGUGAAUUUCAGCUCUCACUGACCUUUCUGCUUCUGGUGUGUUUUCCAUUACUCUUAGCUGGCUCAAAGCUAGCUCAGCAGGUACAUCCAUAUUAGUGGCCUUAACUGCGGUAUAGACUUACUCUAAGAAGCUUGGUGUGGUUUUCAGGACAAAGAAGGUGGGAUCAAAAAGUCUUAAACAGUUAUAAUGUAAAAAAGCCAGAGAAUGUCCUUUUGGCACCUUGUCCUUGUGUCAGCUUCCCUGGGGCAAGGGCUACACCUCCUUUAAUAUUGAGAGCCCUGGGAAAUCUAAGUGAAAGCAGGAUCUUCAGGAAAAGGCUUGCUAAAGCCUUCACAGCACUGAUGCUUCCCAAAUUUCCCCAGCCCAAGGUAGUCCUUGCAUUUAGGCUUGCAAGGCAGUUGUUGGAGAUCUUCUAUAGUGUUUGGAUGAGGAAUUUGUCCCAGCCAGCCGGGGGUGAGGAUCUCACCCUGCUUUCUUCAAAGAUGAUUUUGUCAUGAGUG